CCUACGUGCGGCAGCAGUGAGGAAUAUUGGUCAAUGGCCGGAAGGCUGAACCAGCCAAGCCGCGUGAAGGACGAAGGUGCCAAGCAUUGUAAACUUCUUUUGUCAAGGGACAAAAUCAGGCUCGAGAGCCUGACCGAGGGUACUUGAAGAAAAAGCAUCGGCUAACUCCGUGCCAGCAGCCGCGGUAAUACGGAGGAUGCGAGCGUUAUCCGGAUUUAUUGGGUUUAAAGGGUGCGUAGGCGGACUGUUAAGUCAGCGGUAAAAGCCCGGGGCUCAACCAUAAAAUUGCCGUUGAAACUGGUUGACUUGAGUAUAUUUGAGGUAGGCGGAAUGCGUGGUGUAGCGGUGAAAUGCAUAGAUAUCACGCAGAACUCCGAUUGCGAAGGCAGCUUACUAAACUAUAACUGACACUGAAGCACGAAAGCGUGGGGAUCAAACAGGAUUAGAUACCCUUGUAGUC
rnacentral:rRNA from 1 species